UGGGGAAUAUUGCGCAAUGGGCGGAAGCCUGACGCAGCCACGCCGCGUGUGUGAUGAAGGCUUUCGGGUCGUAAAGCACUGUCGGGAGGGAAGAAGCUCUGACGGUACCUCCCAAGAAAGCACCGGCUAACUCCGUGCCAGCAGCCGCGGUAAUACGGAGGGUGCGAGCGUUGCUCGGAAUCACUGGGCGUAAAGCGUACGUAGGCGGAUUGUGAAAGUCGGGUGUGAAAGCCCAGGGCUCAACCCUGGAAUUGCGCUCGAUACUGCCAGUCUUGAGUACGGGAGAGGGAUAGCGGAAUGUCUGGUGUAGAGGUGAAAUUCGUAGAUAUCAGACGGAACACCAGUGGCGAAAGCGGCUUCCUGGCCCGAUACUGACGCUGAGGUACGAAAGUGUGGGGAGCAAACAGGAUUAGAUACCCCCGUAGUCC
rnacentral:rRNA from 1 species